rnacentral:rRNA from 1 species
ACGGGUGAGUAACGCGUGGAUAAUCUACCCAAUGAUCUGGGAUAACAUCUCGAAAGGGGUGCUAAUACCGGAUAAGACCACGGAGUCUCUGGAUUCUGCGGUAAAAGGUGGGGACCUUCGGGCCUACCGUCAUCGGAUGAGUCCGCGUACCAUUAGCUAGUUGGUAGGGUAAUGGCCUACCAAGGCUACGAUGGUUAGCUGGUCUGAGAGGAUGAUCAGCCACACUGGAACUGAGACACGGUCCAGACUCCUACGGGAGGCAGCAGUGGGGAAUUUUGCGCAAUGGGGGAAACCCUGACGCAGCAACGCCGCGUGAGUGAUGAAGGCUUUCGGGUCGUAAAGCUCUGUCAGAAGGGAAGAAAUGUAGAGGUGCUAAUAUCACUUUUACUUGACGGUACCUUCAAAGGAAGCACCGGCUAACUCCGUGCCAGCAGCCGCGGUAAUACGGAGGGUGCGAGCGUUGUUCGGAAUUAUUGGGCGUAAAGCGCGUGUAGGCGGUCUUUUAAGUCUGAUGUGAAAGCCCCGGGCUCAACCCGGGAAGUGCAUUGGAUACUGGGAGACUUGAAUACGGGAGAGGGUAGUGGAAU